GUGGGGAAUAUUGGGCAAUGGGCGAAAGCCUGACCCAGCAACGCCGCGUGAGGGAAGAAGGUUUUCGGAUCGUAAACCUCUGUCCUUAGUGAAGAGAAAGAGACGGUAGCUAAGGAGGAAGCCCCGGCUAACUACGUGCCAGCAGCCGCGGUAAUACGUAGGGGGCGAGCGUUGUCCGGAAUGAUUGGGCGUAAAGGGCGCGUAGGCGGCCUGUUAAGUCCGGAGUGAAAUUCCUGCUUUCAAGGUAGGAAGUGCUUUGGAAACUGGCGGGCUGGAGUGCAGGAGAGGUUAGCGGAAUUCCCGGUGUAGCGGUGAAAUGCGUAGAGAUCGGGAGGAACACCAGUGGCGAAGGCGGCUAACUGGACUGUAACUGACGCUGAGGCGCGAAAGUGUGGGGAGCAAACAGGAUUAGAUACCCUAGUAGUCC
rnacentral:rRNA from 1 species